rnacentral:rRNA from 1 species
GUGGGGAAUUUUGCGCAAUGGGGGAAACCCUGACGCAGCAACGCCGCGUGAGUGAUGAAGGCCUUCGGGUCGUAAAGCUCUGUCAGAGGGGAAGAAGUGUGAGGUGGCUAAUAGCCAUUUCACUUGACGGUACCUUCAAAGGAAGCACCGGCUAACUCCGUGCCAGCAGCCGCGGUAAUACGGAGGGUGCGAGCGUUGUUCGGAAUUAUUGGGCGUAAAGCGCGUGUAGGCGGUUUUUUAAGUCUGAUGUGAAAGCCCUGGGCUCAACCCGGGAAGUGCAGUGGAAACUGGGAGACUUGAAUACGGGAGAGGGCAAUGGAAUUCCUGGUGUAGGAGUGAAAUCCGUAGAUAUCAGGAGGAACACCGGUGGCGAAGGCGGCUGCCUGGACCGAUAUUGACGCUGAGACGCGAAAGCGUGGGGAGCAAACAGGAUUAGAAACCCUGGUAGUCC